rnacentral:rRNA from 1 species
GACGGGGGGGGCAAGUGUUCUUCGGAAUGACUGGGCGUAAAGCGUGCGCAGGCGGUUUUGUAAGUCUGACGUGAAAUCCCCGGGCUUAACCUGUGAAUUGCGUUGGAGACUGCAAGGCUGGAGUCUGGCAGAGGGGGGUAGAAUUCCACGUGUAGCAGUGAAAUGCGUAGAGAUCGGGAGGAACACCAGUGGCGAAGGCGGCCUUCUGGACCAAUACUGACGCUCAUGCACGAAAGCGUGGGGAGCAAACAGG